rnacentral:lncRNA from 1 species
ACAAUUACACGCAACUACAGACAUGAUUAAAUAUUAGCAUUCAUUUUCUUUGAAACACACAGGUACGAGAAGCUCUACUGAAUAAAUAUUCUUGCUCAAGAUGGAGUUCACAACAUUCAAAGGUAAUAUUCUUUCUAAAUAAAGGACUGGAUUUAAACACAUCCUUCUAAAUGGAGGAAAUGACUUGUGUCAAUAAAAGGGCCAUUCUAUGCAGUAUCUGGCUUUAGCUAGAGCAGUACAUGGUGGAUUUAGAUUCAAAGAUACCAUUCCACCUCUGCAAGUGAAUCAUGAGAAGAAUUUGACACUUUAUUUCUGCAAUUGGGAGAUGAAGAAAACUAAUUAAUCCAUGCUGAUUUGAAAAUAAAAGCAAGUGUUUUGAGAGAUUUAUUUCUAAUUGUGUACAUUGUUGGCAAAAUGAAAAUGUACAAGCAUAUGUUUUGAUAAAACCUCACUACAUCUUUUUUAUUAAUAUGUGUUUCCUUUUUGCAGUCAACAUCGCAAGGCUUGUCGGCUCCUAUGCUUUCCAUCAAUUCACCUUUUUCAAGAACUUUAAAUAAUUUGUUUGGUAAAGCAGGAAAAUACCAAGUCUCUUCUACGGAAUCAUCAACUGUAUUGUCUGAAAGCACUUCGAAGGCACAUACUGUACUGACAUGAGUUCUUAAAUACCUGCAUUUUUGAAAGAGCUCAAGUAUUUUUCAAAUAAUAACUACAGAAUAAAUAGUGAAUAAUAGAAUGUUGACUUUACAGAUUGUGGAAAAGAAAUGGCUUUUUAAUUAACUUUUUUUUUCUGGUAUACCAAAUAAUGAACAGACAAAUAAUUGAAAUCUUUUAAGCUAGACAUUCUGUGACUCAGGUUCUAAUGCUAUUUUACAGCAUUAUUUAUUUUACAGUAUCUUUCAAUGUAGCCAUGUUUGUUCCAAUCCAGUGUUAAAAAUGGACCGGUGGGAAAGACAUAUCACAGCCAAGAGCAAACGGUGUGUGUGCUCGUAUAAAUUGUAGGAGCAAUUUAUAUGAAACAAAUUUUCACUGAAGGUGAAAAAAUUGCUAGUGCAAUCCUAGAGAUGUCAGUUCAGAAGUAAAUAUAAUUUUCAGUGGUUCUCUUCAUUUCCUGGUACAUCCUUUUCUGGGGCAAACUCCAGUAUAAACUCACCUGGGAAGAACUCCAUUGAAUUUAGCAAGACUGGCUUCUGAGUUAGAGCAAUGAAAUUGCACUGAUCAUCUUGUAAAUAAACUGGAACAUUUGUGUUAUCAGCCUCUCCAGAAAGAGAAGCACUUUAUUUUUAUAUUAUAGAAACAUGUCCAGUUCUGCUACUUGUUUUGCUGAGGAAAAACAAAGGGGACCUUUUUUUGUAAAUAUAUAUUUAUGAGGAUAUGACUUAAUAAAACCUGCUUGUCCAG